AGAGAGCUAGAUACAACGCACAAACCAAAAUCUCCCCGACGGCGGCCGCGGCGGCAGCCGAGAUCUCUCCUCCAAGCUGAGCGAGUACGGCCGGUAGAGGAGGCAUAGAUCCCUCUUCCAUGUUGUUCCAACUCUUAACGGCUCCCUGCUGUUGUGUGGGUGGCGUCCCAGUUUGAGGCGGACCAGAUCGGAGCUCGCCGGCGACCUCCGCUCCGCUGCUCGUCGCAGCCUCCCUUCUGAAGCUCCGGGAGCGGUGCCUUCGUCGCCUCUCUCUCGCUCUCUCUCUCUCUCUCUCUCUCUCUCUCUCUCUCUCUCUCUCUCAUGCUCAAGUAUUAGCUCGCAUCCUCCUCCCUCUCGUCGGCGGCAAGCCGGUGGUGGUCUCCUCGGCUCCUUCCCGACCGGCCCGUGCGACGAGGUGGUUCACCUUUAAAUAGGUGUUAACUUUUGUUUGCUAGUAAAUUUGUGCUACAUCCCAAUUUUAUUAUCAUGUAGAUUUGUACUGCAUUUCUCUAGUUCUGUUUUCUUGUUCAUGUCGAGUGAAUGAUGCAGUUUAACAACUCCGAUUUGAUGGUGCAUUGCUAUUGUUUUAGGUGUCUUGGUACUCUCUUUGAACAUUUUGUUUCACUGAUUAGUAUUCUGGAGGAUCAAGUUGGAAGGUUGAGGAUGGUUAGAUAAUCGCGCUGGCGUGAACUUCAGGAAAAUUCAGUAAAAAUAUUAGUACCUGCAGUUCUUAUACAGAGUCAAUAGCUUGAAAAGCUGGAAAUAAAUUAGAUUGAUUCUGCUAGGAAAAAAAUGAAAUUGGUCCAUUUGUCAGCAUAAGAUUCAUGUAUACAUGAUUCACCGCUGGAAAUUGAUCCAUUUAAACAGGCAAUAGUAAGAACUGUCCUAGUAUAUAUGAAUUAUGAUUCUCAAAGAUGGUGGCAUUGAGGGUCAACAAUUUAUGCAUACAGGGCCAACAAUUAGAAGUGUCCUAGUAAAUAUUCUAAUUCAUAGACUGUUGCCCUAGGCUGCGUCCUUUAUGUGAUCCUUGUGCCCAACGUCUGAACUACAAACGAUGAUCUCAUUUUUGACUUUGCAAUUCUCAUCUCGGGACAAGUGAAAAAAAAUAUCGCAUCUGAGGAUUCAGUAAUGGAGGGGAGCAGCACUACUUCGCCAUCAGGAGAGCCCAUAGUUGCAAUGGCCACAACAUAUGCACCAAUGCUAUCAGCCAUGGAAUCGGUCAAUAGUGCUCAAAAUCAAGAUUUCAGCAAUGGUAGCUCGUUUGCAGAGAUUAAUUCCCCAAUGCUUGUCAUUACUGAUUCCAGUACACUCAAAAAGAAACAAUAGUUCUUUCAAGAGGUGCGGAACAAGUAGGCGCUAAUGUGAACAACUGAGAGUUUCAUGGUUGAAAUUACAAGAUUUGAUCUCUCCUAGCACAAGAAGCUUGACGAGCAAGAAGCACUAGAACUGGAGGCAAAAGGCUGUAGCUUUUCUAUUCUGUAACACCAUUCUAGCCAAGUUGAUGCAGUUUCUAAUGUCACUGCUUGUUGAGCUGUGAUUUAUUUUCGUCGUUCAUAGUCAGUCUUGCCCAUGA